AGUGAACGCUGGCGGUAGGCCUAACACAUGCAAGUCGAACGGCAGCACAGUAAGAGCUUGCUCUUACGGGUGGCGAGUGGCGGACGGGUGAGGAAUACAUCGGAAUCUACUUUUUCGUGGGGGAUAACGUAGGGAAACUUACGCUAAUACCGCAUACGACCUACGGGUGAAAGCAGGGGAUCUUCGGACCUUGCGCGAUUGAAUGAGCCGAUGUCGGAUUAGCUAGUUGGCGGGGUAAAGGCCCACCAAGGCGACGAUCCGUAGCUGGUCUGAGAGGAUGAUCAGCCACACUGGAACUGAGACACGGUCCAGACUCCUACGGGAGGCAGCAGUGGGGAAUAUUGGACAAUGGGCGCAAGCCUGAUCCGGCCAUGCCGCGUGGGUGAAGAAGGCCUUCGGGUUGUAAAGCCCUUUUGUUGGGAAAGAAAAGCAGCAGGUUAAUACCCCGCUGUUCUGACGGUACCCAAAGAAUAAGCACCGGCUAACUUCGUG
rnacentral:rRNA from 1 species